rnacentral:tRNA from 2 species
GCCCUCGUAGCUCAGGGGAUAGAGCACCGGCCUCCGGAGCCGGGUGCGCAGGUUCGAAUCCUGCCGAGGGCGCCA